GGUACUAUUGCAAAAGGAGCUGCCCUUUUACAUCAAGAAGGAGCCAGGGAAGUUUAUGCAUGCACCACUCAUGCGGUUUUCAGCCCUCCUGCGAUAGAGAGGUUGUCGAGUGGACUGUUUCAGGAGGUAAUUAUCACAAAUACCAUUCCGGUGGCAGAACAAAACUAUUUUCCCCAGCUGACCAUCUUGUCUGUUGCAAACCUCUUGGGCGAAACGAUUUGGCGUGUCCAUGAUGACUGUGCAGGCGGCUUUGAGCCUUACUCCGGCUUGGGAAUUGAUUAGUCCUUCCUGUUCAUUGCUUGUUUUGACACUGUUAUCUGGAUCUUGAAGCAGAAUUUUAUUGUUGUCUGGAACUUGAAGCAGUAUUUUUACUGUUGUCUGGAACUUGAAGCAGUAUGUAAAUCCACCAAAAUUUUCGUCCAGUAACAAAGAGCAUUUUCUGUUGUACAAAUAUUUUGUGCGGAAUGUUACGUUGUAAAUCUUUCAAUCAGUGACUUGGAUCCAUGUAGUAGAUGAGUUUUUUGAUUAAUAUGAAGCUUACUUGAAUUGCUAUUA